rnacentral:rRNA from 1 species
AUGGGGUGCNNNNNNNGCGAAAACUUCACACUGCAGGAAACUGUGAUGAGGGAAUUCCAAGUGGCUAGACAAAGUCUAGUCUACAACCAACUCUUAACCGGUUGGCGAAAAGGGGUGGGAAAGACCGGUGCCAGCCGCCGCGGUAAUACCGGCACCCCAAGUGGUCGUCGCUUUUAUUGGGCCUAAAACGUCCGUAGCCGGUUUGGUACAUUCGUGGGUAAAUCAAGCAGCUCAACUGCUUGAAUUCUGCGAGGACGGCCAGACUAGGGACUGGGAGAGGUGUGGGGUACUCUCGGGGUAGGGGUAAAAUCCUGUCAUCNCNNGAGGACCACCUGUUGCGAAGGCGCCACACUAGAACGGAUCCGACGGUCAGGGACGAAGCCUANGGGCACGAACCGGAUUAGAUACCCGGGUAGUCCUAGGUGUAAACGCUGUGGACUUGGUGUCGGGGACUCCACGAGUGUCCCCGGUGCCGGAGUGAAGAUGUUAAGUCCACUGCCUGGGGAGUACGGUCGCAAGGCUGAAACUUAAAGGAAUUGGCGGGGGAGCAC